rnacentral:rRNA from 1 species
UACGUAGGGUGCGAGCGUUAAUCGGAAUUACUGGGCGUAAAGCGUGCGCAGGCGGUUUGCUAAGACCGAUGUGAAAUCCCCGGGCUUAACCUGGGAACUGCAUUUGUGACUGGCAGGCUAGAGUAUGGCAGAGGGGGGUAGAAUUCCACGUGUAGCAGUGAAAUGCGUAGAGAUGUGGAGGAAUACCGAUGGCGAAGGCAGCCCCCUGGGCCAAUACUGACGCUCAUGCACGAAAGCGUGGGGAGCAAACAGG